rnacentral:rRNA from 1 species
UACUAUGUAUCUAGUAAUUGGAAUAGAGUAACUAAUUUAAAUCCCUUAACAAGUAACAAUUAGAGGGCAAGUCUGGUGCCAGCAGCCGCGGUAAUCCAGCUCUAAUAGCGUAUAUUAAUAUUGUUGCAAGUUAAAAAGCUCGUAGUUGAAAUUUGGAACUUUAUUGUAUUGGUUUAUCUUAUGAUGAACUGUAUAAUGGGUUUCUUCCUACUAGAGUUCGAUUCUGUUCUUAAUUGAAUGGAGUAGCUAUCUUUCGGGGUGGUCGAUUGGUUGUUAUAUCUCCACUAAUAAGCAGAGAGGGGUAAAACUCUCAAAGUAAGUUAUGUGGGUCAAGGUAUGGCGAUUAAUUGGAGUUCUAGUUCAUUUACUUUGAGAAAAUUAGAGUGUUUAAAGCAGCCUCUUGGGGCACUGAAUACAUUAGCAUGGGAUAAUAAAAUAGGAUCUUCACAAUAUAUUUU